rnacentral:rRNA from 1 species
CCUACGGGGGGCAGCAGUGAGGAAUAUUGGUCAAUGGACGAGAGUCUGAACCAGCCAAGUAGCGUGAAGGAUGACUGCCCUAUGGGUUGUAAACUUCUUUUAUAUGGGAAUAAAAUGUUCCACGUGUGGGAUUUUGUAUGUACCAUAUGAAUAAGGAUCGGCUAACUCCGUGCCAGCAGCCGCGGUAAUACGGAGGAUCCGAGCGUUAUCCGGAUUUAUUGGGUUUAAAGGGAGCGUAGGUGGAUUGUUAAGUCAGUUGUGAAAGUUUGCGGCUCAACCGUAAAAUUGCAGUUGAAACUGGCAGUCUUGAGUACAGUAGAGGUGGGCGGAAUUCGUGGUGUAGCGGUGAAAUGCUUAGAUAUCACGAAGAACUCCGAUUGCGAAGGCAGUUCACUGGACUGCAACUGACACUGAGGCUCGAAAGUGUGGGUAUCAAACAGGAUUAGAGACCCUUGUAGUC